AAGCUUCAGAAAGAGAUGUGGCAUUAAGGAGAAGGGCGAAGAGCUUCUGAAACAUUGUGCUGAAAUCAAUACCUGCUUCUCUCGGCCCAACGUGCAUUAGAGAUCCCUUGGCCAGGACAGAGGCAUUACUGAGGCAAGCUGGACAUCAGUGCACACAGACACUUGCCCUCUGAGACCAGCAUGAUUCCACAUGACGGGAGUCUUAUGCGAAAGGAGGUGCAACACUGACCUCUGGUGGUUAAAAGUCAACACAGCAACUGCUUUGAAAUCUCAACGAGUCAAUCAAUAUUCACAACUAAAAACUACAAAAAAACUCAAUUCUUGGCACUAUG